rnacentral:tRNA from 4 species
GGGCCUAUAGCUCAGCUGGUUAGAGUGCACCCCUGAUAAGGGUGAGGUCCCUGGUUCAAGUCCAGGUAGGCCCACCA